rnacentral:rRNA from 1 species
AUGGCGGCCACGGCCAGCAGCGGCAAGAGCAUGCAAUCACGGGCAGCAUCUAGUAUGCAGCAGAAGCAAAGCAUCAGCAAGCAGCGGCAGCAAGGAGCAAAACAGCAUCAAUACGUAGAGCAGCAGCAGCGCAAGCAACGCCAAGGCGCUAGGAGAAGAAGCAGCAGGGUGAGCGUGAAAGCAACGGGCGACAGCAGUAGGCGGAGCGGGAGAACAGCCGGAGUUGACCGUACGAACGACGGCCGGUGGCGGUGCACAGCGGCGGCGGCGACGAUCAAACGGGAGACUCCAGCGGCCACUUGA